UACGGAGGAUGCAAGCGUUAUCCGGAAUGAUUGGGCGUAGAGGGUCCGCAGGUGGCAGUGUAAGUCUGCUGUCAAAGAAUGAGGCUUAACCUCAUCAAGGCAGUGGAAACUACACAGCUAGAGUACGGUCGGGGUAGAAGGAAUUCCUGGUGUAGCGGUGAAAUGCGUAGAGAUCAGGAAGAACACCGGUGGCGAAAGCGUUCUGCUAGACCUGUACUGACACUGAGGGACGAAAGCUAGGGGAGCGAAUGGG
rnacentral:rRNA from 1 species